UACGGGGGGGGCAAGCGUUGUUCGGAAUUACUGGGCGGAAAGGGCUCGUAGGCGGCCGACUAAGUCAGACGUGAAAUCCCUCGGCUCAACCGGGGAACUGCGUCCGAUACUGGAUGGCUUGAAUCCGGGAGAGGGAUGCGGAAUUCCAGGUGUAGCGGUGAAAUGCGUAGAUAUCUGGAGGAACACCGGUGGCGAAGGCGGCAUCCUGGACCGGCAUUGACGCUGAGGAGCGAAAGCCAGGGGAGCAAACGGG
rnacentral:rRNA from 1 species